AUUGAACGCUGGCGGCAGGCCUAACACAUGCAAGUCGAGCGGAUGAAGGGAGCUUGCUCCUGGAUUCAGCGGCGGACGGGUGAGUAAUGCCUAGGAAUCUGCCUGGUAGUGGGGGAUAACGUCCGGAAACGGGCGCUAAUACCGCAUACGUCCUGAGGGAGAAAGUGGGGGAUCUUCGGACCUCACGCUAUCAGAUGAGCCUAGGUCGGAUUAGCUAGUUGGUGGGGUAAAGGCCUACCAAGGCGACGAUCCGUAACUGGUCUGAGAGGAUGAUCAGUCACACGGGAACUGAGACACGGUCCAGACUACUACGGGAGGCAGCAGUGGGGAAUAUUGGACAAUGGGCGAAAGCCUGAUCCAGCCAUGCCGCGUGUGUGAAGAAGGUCUUCGGAUUGUAAAGCACUUUAAGUUGGGAGGAAGGGCAGUAAGUUAAUACCUUGCUGUUUUGACGUUACCAACAGAAUAAGCACCGGCUAACUUCGUG
rnacentral:rRNA from 1 species